AACUACAUAUAUAAUUAAGGACUAAUACCUAGAAAAAACAUAUAUAUAACAGGUCUAAAAAUCCAACUGCAAAAUAGCAAUCCCAGUUAGAAAAUGGGCAAAAGACAUAAAGAAACAUUUCACCAGAGGAUAUAAAUGGCAAAUAAACACAAAUGUAGAUGUUCACCAUCAUCCCCAUUAGAGAAAUGCAAAUUAAAGCCACGAGGAGAUCACGACACACCUAUCAGAAGGGCUAAAAUAAAUGGUGAAACACCAAGUGCUGAUGAGGAAACGGAGAAACGGGAUCACUCACACACUGCUAGUAAGCUCUGGAAAACAGUUUGCCAGUUUCCUAAAAACUAAGCAUGUAACUCCCAUAUGAUCCAUAAAUUGUACUAAUGGACGUUUAUCCCAGAGAAAUGAAGACUUAUGAUCACACCAAAACUGUACAUAAAUAUUCACAGUAGAAUUAUCUGUAAUAGUCCUAGCUGGAAACAACCCAGAUGAUAUUCAAUGGAUGAAUGGAUGAACAAAUUGUACAUUAAUAGCGGAAUAAUUUUUUUUUUGUCUUUUUGCAUUUCUAGGGCCACUUCUGUGGCAUAUUAAGGUUCCCAGCUAGGGGUCUAAUCGGAGUUGUAGCCGCUGGCCUACACCAGAGCCACAGCAACGUGGGAUCUGAGCCGUCUGCAACCUACACCACAGCUCACGGCAACACCCGAUCCUUAACCCACUGAGCAAGGCCAGGGAUUGAACCCGCAACCCUAUGGUUCCUAGUCGGAUUCAUUAACCACUGAGCAAUGACGGGAACUCCAAUAGUGGAAUAAUACUAAUAAUGGAAUAGUAUUUGGUCAUACAAAGUAAUGGAGUUCUGAUACACGGUACAAUGUGGAGCAACUCUAGAAACAUUAUACUAAGUUAAAGAAGCCACAAAAGACCACAUACUGUAUGAUUCCAUGGAUAUGAAAAUGCAAGAUCUGGCUAGCUGUCAAGACGGAAAGUAGAUUUAUGGUUGCUUAUGGCUGGGGGGUUAGGGGCGGCAAGAAUGGUUAUUUUUUUUUUUGUCUUUUGUUUUUGCAUCUGCUAGCCCCACUCCCAAUCCAUUCCUCUCCGCACUCCCUCAGCAACCAUAAGUGCUUUCUCUAUGUCUGUAAGUUUAUUUCUGUUUUGUAGAUAUGUUCAUCUGUGUCAUAUUUUAGAUUCCACAUACAAAUGAUAUCAUAUGGUAUCUGUCGUUCUUUUUCUGACUUAAUUCACUUAGUAUGAUAAUCUCUAGGUCCAUCCGUUUUGCUGCAAAUGGCACUAUUUUCUUCUUCUUAUGGCUGAGUAGUAGUCCGUUGUACAUAUGUACCACGUUUUCUUUAUCCAUUCAUCUGUUGAUGGACACUUAUGUCUUGGCUGUUGUAAACAGUGCUGCUGUGAACAUAAGGAUGCAUGCAUCUUUUCGAAUUAUAUUUGUCACGAUAUAUGCCUAGGAGUGGGCUUGCGGGAUCGUAUAGCAAUUCUGUUGUUUUGUUUUGUUUUUUGUCUUUGUAGGGCCAUACCCAUGGCAUAUGGAGGUUCCCAGGCUAGAGGUCAAACUGCAGUUGCAGCCACCAUCCUACACCACAGCCACAGCAACAUCCCAUCCGAGUCUGCGACCUACACCACAGCUCAGGCCAAUGGCGGGGAUGGCAGUGCCCACUGAGCAAGACCAGGGAUGGAACCCGUGUCCUCAUGGAUACUAGUCAGGUUUGUUUCUGCUGCACAAUGACAGGAACUCAUAAGGUAUUUUUUUAAUAACAGUUAUACCCCUUACCAGCCACUGCUCUAGGA
ensembl:lncRNA